UACAGAGGUCUCAACCGUUGUUCGGAUUUAUUGGGCGUAAAGGGUGCGUAGGCGGCGGGGCAAGUCAGGUGUGAAAUCUCGGGGCUCAACCCCGAAACUGCACUUGAUACUGCCUUGCUUGAGUACUGGAGAGGAGACUGGAAUUUACGGUGUAGCAGUGAAAUGCGUAGAUAUCGUGAGGAAGACCAGUGGCGAAGGCGGGUCUCUGGACAGUUCCUGACACUGAGGCACGAAGGCCAGGGGAGCAAACGGG
rnacentral:rRNA from 1 species